rnacentral:lncRNA from 1 species
GUCUCAUUCAGCCUCCACAGUGCAAUUUGAAGGGAAGACUUUGGCCUGAAGACAUUUCACCUGCUACCGGUUUUGGGGUUUAAAGUGAAAUGCAGCCUUUAAGCCACCCCUCCAGCCUGCUAUGAUGCUGCCCAGAAGCUCUCUUUUGUGAAUUAUCUGUCUCUCGCAACCACCCUUUGCAAGAAAGAACAUGAAAGUGAAGAGAGAUGAAGUAACUCAGUGAAGAGCACACAGUGUGAAAAACCUGUCCGU